CCCCUCUCAGGGUUGCACCUGGAGAGUUUCCAGUACUCUACCAGUCUCGGCUACAAGAGGGAAAGUCAAGCAGAGGCCUAACUAUUCCAUUGCUAGCUUGGGCAGUGGCUAGCGAAUGGAAAGCCAUCUGCUACAAGU
rnacentral:snoRNA from 1 species